UGGGGAAUUUUGGACAAUGGGCGAAAGCCUGAUCCAGCAAUGCCGCGUGUGUGAAGAAGGCCUUCGGGUUGUAAAGCACUUUUGUCCGGAAAGAAAUCCUUGGCUCUAAUACAGUCGGGGGAUGACGGUACCGGAAGAAUAAGCACCGGCUAACUACGUGCCAGCAGCCGCGGUAAUACGUAGGGUGCAAGCGUUAAUCGGAAUUACUGGGCGUAAAGCGUGCGCAGGCGGUUUGCUAAGACCGAUGUGAAAUCCCCGGGCUCAACCUGGGAACUGCAUUGGUGACUGGCAGGCUAGAGUAUGGCAGAGGGGGGUAGAAUUUCACGUGUAGCAGUGAAAUGCGUAGAGAUGUGGAGGAAUACCGAUGGCGAAGGCAGCCCCCUGGGCCAAUACUGACGCUCAUGCACGAAAGCGUGGGGAGCAAACAGGAUUAGAUACCCUGGUAGUCCACGCCCUAAACGAUGUCAACUAGUUGUUGAGGAUUCAUUUCCUUAGUAACGUAGCUAACGCGUGAAGUUGACCGCCUGGGGAGUACGGUCGCAAGAUUAAACUCAAUGAAUUGACGGGGUCAUAGCUGUUUCCU
rnacentral:rRNA from 1 species